CCUCGGGUGUUAGACUGAGAUGUGUAUCCUACAGGAUCACAAGACUGCGACUGUACAAGGCAAAGGUAAUAAAGGCGGCAAACCGGCGAGGGCCGGAAGGAAGCGUGAUGCCAUAGGAAAUAUGUUGUUUGCUUACGCUUAUGGGUUCUUGUGAGGUUUAAGAUGAAUUGAAAUUUUGCUUACAAACGUUUAUUGUAAAUAGUAUUGUUUUUAUGUUUUCUUGAAUUUUUGAAAUUCAGGCCUGACUUAAAGAUGUUUUUAAAUUAGUUUA